UGGUUGUUUCAAUGUUUUGUCUCUCUUUGGAUCACAAAAUCUAACUAUAUCAUUGAAUUGUUCUUUUCAGAUAUUUGUUUGAGAGAAAUCAUGGAUGUCAUGACAGAUUUGGGAGUGUCCUAAACAUUUCUCACAGCCAAUCAUACACACAGGGGAUUAUAUAUCUUGGCCUGAUUGUUUGAGAGAGGUUAAUAGUUGCUAUGACAGGUCAGAAACAGUAGCCAAAUAUUUGGAUGAGAAGGAACUAUGGAGCACAAACUCGGACUUAAAUAUGCCAACAACAUUGCAAAAAUUCUAUGUUGAGAAUUUGGAGCAUGAUGAUGAAUAGCAGAAGAACGCUUGGUGUUGCAUAAUGUUCAUAGUACCUGGGUUUCAAUCCGGAGGGACUACAUCUGAAUCUGUGUUGUUAAAAUAUUUUUCAUAAAAACCAGUUGGUGUAUUUUUUGGUCAAGAAAUUCUCCGUUCCCAAAACAAAACGAAAGAAAAAUGGGUGUUCAAUGGGAUGAGUUACCGCAAGAAAUCAUAGAAUCAAUCUCGAAAAGGUUAACAAUCUACGCCGACUAUAUCCGAUUCCAAUGUGGGUGCCGCACCUGGAAUUCCUCCGUCCCUAAUGGAGAAUACUAGGCACUGGCGUACCACAUCAUCUCUAUUGUAAUAAUUUCUUUUACUUGCAGAAAAAGAAGUCCCUUCAAACUUAUUCAGUAUUUCUUUUUUAAUUGAAAUUAGGAAAGGAGAUUGAAAACUUAAUCCUUUAUUAUAUUUAAUCCUAGCAAACAUGCUUACCCUAAUUGCCAAACCCUAAACCUACUUUUUUGGCUCCAAUCUAUCCUGACCGUUAGAUCAUUGUAAUUAAGGGAGGUUAGCACAUCAGCCAUUGAUCAAAUCUCACUCCUUGAAAAUUAACACACGCGCAUAGGGAAACAAAACCCCUUCUUCUCUAUUAUUUGUUCAAUACCGAUGCAAACUCUACAGAGCCCCAUGCUUCCCUCUUCUUCUUCCUCUUUUCUCAAAACAAGCUCACAUGUUUCUUCUUCCUGUUAUCGUCAUCACCACCGACAACCCUCCCAUCCAUCAACUGCGACCACCAAACCUCUCGCUCAACAUAUCAAUAACCAGACUUUCUACCAUAUCUAUCAUCCAUCAUAGUCGUAUUUCUCCUCCCAUCCCUCGCCGUCGUCGACUCGAUCGUCGCCGUUCGUCGUCGUCCGGCUCAGCCUCAAAAUAGAGCAAUUGGGUUUUCAAGUUCUACAGUUUUGAACCAAUUGGUUGCUACUUGCUUAGUUGAAGAGACUUUGAUUUGUGGGAGGAAAUUUACGAUAUUAGUUUUGAUUCAUGAAGAAAGAUGUCUUGGUUAGUUGAUGAUAUCAAAAAUGUCAAUGACUCUUAAGGAAACAUGGAAACUUGCUAUUCGUAUUCUUGAUAUAUUGAGUGUUGUUGUUGUCUAUAGUAAGGGUAAUGAGCAUCUUGAAAUGGUUAUGAUGGAUUCAAAGUGUGAUACGAUUCAGACUCUAAUCCGUGGUGAUCACACACCUGAAUGGAAGGGAAAGAUCAAAGAAGAUAUGACAUUUAUCAUUAACAAUGGUGCUGUGUAUGACAAUGAUUUUUAAUGGAAAAUUUGUGAUCACUCAAAAAAAUUGUUUCUUGGUGGCACAACUGUCAAAGUCCAAGAGAUGAAAGACAUACCACUAAAGCGUUACUUUUUUAAGGAUUUUGCUGAGAUCCUCAAAGGGAACUGCAAAUUAAAAAGGCUUGAAGAUAUAAUCGGUGAUGUCCAUGAAAUUGUGAGUGUGCAACCAAACUCUGGUGGAAAAUAAAUGGCCGUAUCUGUCAACCUUAAGGACUUGAAUUAAGACUCUCAUUUCUCUCACUUCUGAAAGUGAUUUUCAACUUGAUAUAUAUUUUAGUUUUAUGAAGUUAGAUACAAAUUUGAACCAAGACUCAUAUAUGAAUGUAUCCAAGUUUUUAAAUGAAAAGUAUUGCUCUGCAUGUAUCAUAAUGCUAUAGAUACAAGUCAUGUUUUAUUUUAGUUUCUACUUUGUGAGCAUAUUGGUAUUGCAAUACACCAUUACUGAUAUUGAUUACUCUGAACUAAGACUCUCAUAUAUGAAUGUAUCCAUUGUUGUAAGACUCUAUCCAUUAUUAUUUACUUUAAUUAGUAUAUCAAUAUCAAUUGAUAUGUCUUAAAUUGAUUUUUAAAUUGAUGUUCGUUUUAGUGAAGUAAGACUUUGUCUAUGAUUUUAAGUUGUAUUUUGCAAGUUGAUAUAUGCUUUAUGGAUCCCAUCAUUUGUCAUGAAUUGAUGCAUGUUUUAUUGAAUUGAUAUAUGUUCAAGAUUUUUAACUUGAUUUUCAAAACUGUCAACAUAGUGGCAAUAUGAUUAACUUCACUUUUUGGGAAAGCUAUGGAUCUAAGUUCCUAAAUUACUACAACCAAAACAAAAACUAUGGUGCUAUUGUCAUUAUCCUAACUCAAGCAAUGAUCAAGGAUGCACAAGUUUUCAAAGGAAGUGAUCGUGCAGCACUUUUGAAAUUAACCAAGUUGAUAAUUUGGGACGAAGCUCCAAUGGCUCACAAGUUUUAUUUUGAAGCAUUGGAUAGAACACUCAAAGACAUAAUGACCGGAUCUAAGUCUUCAUCAAAAAUAUUUGGAGGGAAAGUAAUUGUUUUCGGUGGUGAUUUUCGAUAAAUACUACCAGUUAUACCCAGAGGAAGCCGUUCUGAUAUAAUUCAUGCCACAAUUAAUUCUUCAUGCAUAUGAGAUCACUGUCAGGUGGUGAGACUCAAAAAGAACAUGUGGCUGCAACAGAAUGGUCAGAGUUCCAAUGAUCCGGAGUUUGAACAGUUUUCCAAAUGAAUACUGAAAGUUGGAGAUGGAAAAAUAUAUGAACCUAAUGAUAGUUAUGCAGAUAUUGAUAUCCCACCUGAAUUGUUGAUCUCUAAUUAUGAUGAUUCACUUCAAACCAUAGUUCAAAGUACAUAUCAAAACUUUUGGAUGAGUGAUCAGAAUGAAGGAAUAGGUAAAAAAAAUCAAAGAACAUGACUGCUCUUGCAAUUCUACAUAACUAUGCAGAAUUUUGUAUCAGCACACGAAUUUGUGUUUUUGUUUGUACUUAUGCUAUAGGUUAUUAAUAAUUGCUUGGAAUGCAAAAUUAUUAUGAUGAGCGUGCCUUCACAUGGUUCGUUUAGAACGGAGUCAUAGUACUUUUGAUCGAGGAGAGGUAAACACUGACCUGAGAUUCUUAUGAAUUAGAUAUAGUAUAAUGCUACUGUGAAGGAUUCUUUUGGUUGUUCCUGUAUUUGUACAGGCGAAUUCAAUUUGUGUGUGAUGUUUCAAACUGUUGAUAUGUUUAAUGUUUGCACGUGAAUUGGGAAUUAAGUGAGAAGAUUUUGAUGUCAUUAUCAAUACAGACACAUUAGUCAAUAUAUGUAUUGGAAGUCUAUUUCAUGA